rnacentral:lncRNA from 1 species
AUGGUGUUAGGAGCCUUAGUUUUUUAAUAAAGGUGGGAGAUUUGUCAUUAUAGCAAAUUAGCUAGUUACUCUUGAGUUCUAAUACUUCUCUGUACUCGUAGGUCAGUGGCUGAAUUUAGCAGUAGCAUUUGAAAGACUUUUUGUUGUUUAGUUUCCAUUUUUUCCUGCUUAGCUGGAAGAUAGUAUUAAGUAGAUAACUUACCCACAUGGAUAUAGGUGCAAGUCUUUUUUUUUUUUUUUAAAGAUUUAUUUUAUUUAUUAUUCGUAAGUACACUGUAGCCUUCUUCAGUCACCAGAAGAGGGCAUCAGGUCUUGUUACAGAUGGUUGUGAGCCACCAUGUGGUUGCUGGGAAUUGAACUUGGGACCUGCAGAAGAGCAGUCAGUGUUCUUAACCUCUGAGCAAUCUCUCCAGCCUUAGGUGCAAGUCUUAAGUCAGUUGCUUGCUUUGUACUGUGAAGCUUUCUAUAAAUUUAGUUAGUUGAACAGACAUUCAGGCCUUUACUUUUAAAUCUCCCCUUUUUUUUUUUUUUUCUUAAAGAUUUAUGUAUUAUAUGUAAGUACACUGUAGCUAUUUUUCAGAAACACCGGAAGAGGGCAUUCGAUCUCAUUACAGAUGGUUGUGAGCCACUGUGUGAUUGCUGGGAUUUGAACUCAGGACCUCUAGAAGAGCAGUCAGUACUCUUAACCACUGAGCCAUCUCUCCAGCCUGGGCCUUUCUUUUUAAAGGGUUGGGUUUAAGCACUUUUGAAGUUGUUUGAAAGCCUGCUAUAUGAAUUGACAUUUGUCCUUCAAAAAUACUUUCAUGAGACAGGUCUACGUGCGUACUCAGGCAGGCCUUGAAUGUGAGAUCCUGCCACAGUUUCCUGCUUGUGGGAUUACAGGCAUGGGCUACCAUACUGCUAAAACAUCUUACAUUUUGUGACAAUUCUGAAUUACUGAUGAGUAUGUUGAAAGUAAAUAACUUUUAUUUUAAAUUUUAAAUAACUUUCUAAAAGUUGUUUAUGUUUGAUUAAAAACCCUGUACUUUUCCUGUUUCUCUGUCCCAAAAGCAGGACACUGAUUUAAGACUUGUCUGUGCCAGUUAUAACUCUUUUAUAUCUAUAAUAUUUUGCAUAUACUCUGUUAUCCUAAUGUGAAAAUUUACCAAUAUUCUAAUUGUGACAUGCAUGGUGUUUAACAGACUCCUGAGAAAAAGCAGAAUGACCAGCGAAAUCGGAAAAGGAAAGCCGAGCCAUAUGACACUAGCCAAGGUAGUGGCCAUCUUACAUUAAACCCAGGCUGUCUGCGUACGUGAAGUGGUCUAACUCCCAGCAUGUGAUUUGUUUGCUUUGAAGGAUCCCUGACAGAGGUUUCUGUGUUUUAGGGUAUUAGGCUAUUGCAGACUUGCUAUUUGACACACACUGACGAAACGGUGUCAGUUCUUUGGGGACUCUUGUUUUCCCUGUGUACUUGAGUGAUUUUCUUACUACAGACUUUUCUUCAGACCAAACAGGAAUCAUAUGGGAAAGAGGGCACAAUGAAGUCUUGUUAGUAGUGGUAGCCAGAAAUGGUUUCAUCUACAGAACUCUUCCAUAGGAACCUACUGGGAUGAAAUUUGUAUCAGUGAUAGUUACACUGUUAAAUAUAUAGUCAAGGAUAAGAAAAAAAAAUGGUUUAGCCUUUCCCUGUCCUGGUUAAGGACUGGAAUUCCCAGUCUUUUUGCAUUGAUGUUCCCUUUUAAAAAUCAGUAGUUAAAGUCAUUCUGUCUUGUGUGAGGGAAGUCCUUCCAAGUUUACAAAGUUAUGUAAAAGGUGACCAGCUCUUUAGUUCUGAUGCAUUUGUUUGAAUCUUGGUUUCUUAAAUUGGGAUGUGGAUUAUAGAUGAUUUUUGUUUCCUGAUUUUAGCAUGUAUAUUUUUAAAACAAGGUGUGAAAAAUUCCCAUCAGUGUUCAUUUAGUCACUUGUUACAUAGAAGAGAUAAGGUAAUCUUAGUGUACGGGCUUGUAUCAUUUGUUAAAAGUAAAGCUGACACUUAAGAUGACAGCGUUGUGAUUGGUCAGUUACUGCGCUUUGACAUGCAUUUCAGUGAUGAUGGCUUAUGUGUGCAUUGGAAAAACUGUACCUAACUUUGGUUUCAUUUUCAGGGAAAGGCACUCCUAGGGGACAUAAAAUUAGUGAUUACUUUGAGGUAAGUUAAAUUGGGGGUUAAAAAACAACCUCCAGUAUCUUUAAACAACUUAAUAAUACUCUUGUUUAUUUAAGGCGUUAGAAAGUAGUGUUUUGCCUUUACUGUGAUCUUGCCCUUCUCUUUCCAUCUUCAUCAAACUAAUGUUGGCCAUCUUGUAAUUAGAAGGACUGCUGCAGGUUUGCUAGGUUUAAGUUUUGUAUCAUGUGUCUUGUCUGUGAUGAUAGAAGAAUUCACAUAUGAAGUGCACUUUCUCUUGGCCAGAUUAGGUUUUGUGUUUCUCAGUGAUUAAGGUACAAGGACUUGUCUCUCCUUGUGGAAUGUAUGUGUAGUGAACUCAGUGACUCAUUGUUAAGUGGUUACUAAAGAUCACUAACAACUUCUACACUACUGUCUUUCUGCCUCAUGUAUUUUGAGACCAAGUGGGGGUGGGGAGAUGCAUUCUUCUCUCAUGUCUGUCCAAAACCAUGCGUACUUUCAGCUUCAACCCAUGUUUUCUAUGUAUCUUGUUACAUUUCUUUGGGAGCUCUUUCUCAAAACUCUCAUUGAAAAGAUAAAUUUGGCUUACAUGGCAUUUUAUCUCUAGAAUGAGAUGUAUUGACUUAAAGGGCCAUGUAUAAUUAAGACCUGUUUGUAUGUUAAUCUUUUACUCUCCUCUGAAGCAUGGUACUGUUUUGAAUUAUUCAUAUCCAUUUUUCCCUGUUGGCCAGUUUGCUGGGGGAAGCGGGCCAGGAACCAGCCCUGGCAGAAGUGUUCCACCAGUUGCACGAUCCUCACCGCAACAUUCCUUAUCCAAUCCCUUACCGGUAAGCAUUCACCUGGAGAAUUUGACACCUAUUAUGUAGGAGACCAGUAGCCCAGGAACACUAAAGCCAUUUCUCUUCCAUUAAUUACCCAUAAGGAACGAGGGAGUAAACUUUAUGCUGUUGCCUAUAAAUCACUUACUUAGAUUGACAUCUUUCAUUAGCAAGUCAACUCUCUCAGAGUUAGUCCAUUCUUUGAUUCUUAAUGGCAGCUCUUUAAUUGCCUGUAAGCCUGUCCAAUUUACCAGUCUGUUAAGAAAGUAAUUCCAAUCAGACGGUGGGUUUUAAACCAUUGCCAAAUUCUAAUUUCUUUUCUUCCUUUUAAAAUUUUAAUCAGCUUCUGAUAUCCAUAUCUUUUAGGCUUUCUCACUGAUGUGGUAGAAAACAUAAUGUAUUUGAGAUUGGUUUGUUUUCAUCCUUUAAGAGAGAUUUCAAAGCUUUAAAAAAAAGGACAAGGGCUAGGAAAGCUGGUUCCUAUAAAGUUAGGUUAGCACUGCCCAUCAGGCAAAGGAUCUAAAUUUUAGUAGCUGAUGUUGCUACUUCCUGAACUCGCUAAUGUAGGGUUUUAUAUUACUUUGCUCCAGUACCUUUGGGUAAUUUGUUGACACUCUACAAUGUGACUUAUCUGUCUUUAUGUCAGAUUUCAGGAGCUGGGGUUAAAGUAAAAGU